AAUCCCCUUGUGUCGUCCACCACACUUGCCUUGUGGGCAAGGAUUCCUUUCCUUUUUUUUUCUAGUCAACUUACCUUACCUAACUCCCUUUUCACUCCCAUGAUCCACUUUUUAUGGCUUUGUCCCCCUAUUGCCUUUUUUCCUUCCCAUGCACCUAGACACACUUUUAUUUUUAUUUUUUCUCAUCCUUUCCCACAUUCUCUCCCUUCAGCUGCCCUCCUUCUUGUUCCUCCCUUUUCUUCUAUUUUCUUCUAUUUUCACCACCCAUUUUCUUCAUUUCUUCUCCAUUCCACCACCUCUAAAGGCC
rnacentral:lncRNA from 1 species